AGCCAGUACUCUUAUUCACUGAGCUAUCUCUCCAGCCCCUCUCCUUUCUUUUUAGAUAUGGUCUCAUGUAACACAGGCUGAGGCUGGCCCUCUGAUCCUAUUGCCUCUACCUUCCAAAAGCUGGGAUUAAUGAGUGUCACACCUUGCCCAGUGUGUGUGUCCUCAGGCUUGUUCCCUCUCUAGAUGUACAAGCCAGGCAAAAGUUAUAUUGUGGAGCCACACACCAGCUCUAGAAUGGCUCCUUCUUCCCCUAUAGCCUCUUAUUCCCUUUCUUUCUUUUUCUUCUUUCUUUUCUUUUUUCCUCUCUCUCUCUCUCUCUCUCUCUCUCUCUCUCUCUCUCUCUCUGUCUGUCUCUCUCUCGACAAAGUCUCAGUUUGUAGUCCAGGCUGGCCCAGAACAUCCUAUGUAAUCUGAGAUAACCUAGAAUCUGCAAUCCUCCUCUUGUGUGUCACAAGUGCUUGGUUUACAGGUAUGGGGCACCAUGCCCAGCUAGAGUAUUCUUUUUAAGGGGUGAAACUGAUCACACCUAAAAUCCAUCUACAGUCUUCAUAUCAUUCACAAUAAAAAAAAAGUUCUUGCUACAGUCAAGAGACCCCUUCUCUCUGUCAAUAUCUAGUGCCUGUUUCCUCUCACCUGUCAGGAUGGAGCCACUGCCAAGCCCUGGUUUCAUUCUGGUAGAUUUCAAAGAGAAAGCCAUUAAGAUUUGACAAGGCAGCUAGGUGGUGGCAGCUCAUGCCUUUAAUUCCAGCACUCAGGAGGUAGAGGCAGGCAGAUCUUGGUGUUCAAACCAAGUCUACAGAGUAAGUUCUAGGACAGUCUGGGCUACACAGAGCAACCCUGUCUUGAAGAGCAAAAGCAAACAGAAAGAUUUGCCAAGGGCUUGGAGGUGAAUUGUGAGAGGAGCGAUGAAGUCAAGGAUGUCUGUGGUAGUGCUUAUUGUCUAGACCUCAGUAUCCUCUUGCUUCCAGAGCCACAUCAUGGCAAAGGUGACGGGGAGGCUCUGGUGACGCUGAACAGACCUGGCACUGCUGCUCUGAUCUUGCCACCCUCUGGCACUCUUGACACUCCCUGUUUCAAGUGAGGAAACAUGUCACAAAUGUGAAGUGAGUGACCCAGGCCACAUAGCUGGAAAGUCACCACUCCAGCCCCGAAGAAACAUAUGAGGCCACGGACUGCACCUUCAGCAGAGGCAUUACAGUGCUGACCCUAGAAUCUGACUGCCUGCGUGUAAUCCCGACUCUGCCAAUUACCAACAGCCUCUCUGUGCCCGUGUUUCCUCAUCAGAAAAAGGCAGUGAGUUGUGACAAUGCGUCCACCCUGGCUAGCAUCUCUGUGAAGACUGAAGGAGAGCGUGUGUAUGGUGGACUUGGCAUUGUGCUGCUGUUAUCACUACUGUUCUCUCUGCUCUAGGUCUGAGCUUCUCCCCUGACCAUGGCAGGCAAGUCCAGAGGGUGGAGAGAAAAGCUGAGAAUUUCUUGCCUCAUCAUCCUCCAUGUGUAGGGGCAGAGAGGGCCGAGGACAGAGGAGGGGGCCUCGUGACUGCCUGGGCUGCUGAGCAAUUUACUGGAGGAGCUCAUUUGGCAACUCUGAUUCCAAGUUAAUUAAAGAUGGCCACCGGGGGUCAUUGCCAUGGUAACAAUUAGGCCAGAAAGAAGCCUCAUUAAGGUGCGGUUUUAACUAGGCCAGACGUUUUUAACCUAAGAUCUCUGGGAAAGGGAACUACCUUGCUUCCCUUCUCUCCUCCUUGUUCACAUCCAUUUCCAGAUGGUUCUGGCUGAGGAAGGAGACAGAGGGUGUACUGAUGGACAUCUGCAAUCCCAGGUGUAUUGAUGGACAUCUUCAACCCCUAGUGUGUUGAUGGACAUCUGCAGUCCCAGGUGUAUUGACAUCUGCAGUCCCAGGAGUACUGAUAGACAUCUGCAAUCCCAGGUGUACUGAUGGACAUCUGCAGUCCCAGGUGUGCUGAUGGACAUCUGCAGUCCCAGGUGUACUGAUGGACAUCUUCAAUCCUAAGUGUAUUGAUGGACAUCUUCAAUCCCAGGUGUGUUGAUGGACAUCUUUAAUUCCAGGUGUACUGAUGGACAUCUGCAGUCCCAGGAGUAUUGAUGGACAGCAAUCCCAAUGCUGGCAAGACAGACAGGCACAGCUCUGAAGCUCACUGACCAAUAAAUAUAACUGAACCCAUGUCAAUGAGAGACCCUGUCUCAAAAGGUAAUGGAGGGGCCAGAAAGAUGAUUCACCAGUUAAGAGCAUUUGUUACUCUUCCAGAGGACUGGAGUUUGGAUCCCAUCACUCAUACAGAGGCUUACAACCAUUCAUAACUCCAGUUCCAUGGGAUCCAGUGCCCUCUUCUGACCUCCAAGGACACAAAGCAUGCAUGUGGUACACAUACAUACAUGCAAGAAAACCACAGACACAUGUAAAAUAAAAACAAAUAAGUCUUUAAAAUUAAAUAAAUUAGCAGGGGGCUGGGGCUAGAGAGAUGGCUCAGCACUUAAGAGCACUGACUGCUCUUCCAGAGGACCCUGGUUCAAUUCCCAAUGUCCACAUGGCAGCCCACAACUGUCUAUAAUUCCAAGAUCCAACACCCUCACACAGACAUAUAGGCAGGCAAAACACAAAUGCACAUAAAAUAAAAAUAAAUAAUUUUUUAAAAAACUAAAUGAAAUGGAGAGUGACUAAGGAGGAUACUUGGCUUUGACCUUUGACCUCUACAUUCAUGUGUUCAAUGUGUAUCUGAAUUUGUACAUGAAUUCACCCAAGAACACAUGUAUGUGCACACACCACACACAAAGAAAUAAAAUGUAUGUUUAUUAUUCUCCUAGUAAUGUAAAUGCAUUGAUAAAAAUGAGAAGUCCCAGGACAGCACAAAAGGAGACUGUCCCCUGCUGUACCCCACCUCAGACAUAAUGUCUGUUGACAUUUUCCAUGUCAUAGUUAAGCACAAGAUACAGGGAGCUGUAUUCAAAGAAGGGAGAAGGGGGACAUGGACUUUGGUGUUUGUGCCCUUUUCCACUGUUUGUAUUGUAUCAGAAAAAAAAUGUCAAAUAAACCGCAGGGAAAAUAUCAACUAUUGCAACACUCCUCUAUGUGUAGAGAUGUAUCACACAUUCUUUUUCUACAAAAAUAGGGGUCGCUUUGUGCCUAUGAUUUUGAAACCUGAAUUUAUCAUGUCAAGAUAACAAGAUGUCUUGAAUGCUUUUCCAGGAUGCUGCAACUUAUCUUUUUUUUUUUUUAAAGCACAUUGCAAACUAUUCAAACUGAAAAGGCAAAAUCAGACAAGCAAGUUUCCUACUUGAGCCUCCCUGUCCUUUGUUCCUCUCUACAGAGGCAGCCGGGAGGGUCCAUUUCUUUCUAUUUCUUUCCCUCCUUCUAGACCAAGCUGGCCUUGAACACACAAAUAACUGAAG
ensembl:lncRNA